rnacentral:lncRNA from 1 species
AGGUGCAGUUGAUAGAGGGAUAUUAAUCCAUUACUGAUUCAUAGCCUUUAUUAAAGAAGCCUCAGGUAUAAAUCAUGCAAAGAAAAAUAAUCUCUUAACAGAAGUUUCACAAUAUAAGCCACCCUUAAGGGGUUUAUAAAAAAGAAGCCAUUUUCAAACUAUUGAAAUCUCCACUUGAGUAAAAUUUAUGAAGCCCAAAGUGCACACUAUUUGAGUAAUACAAAACAACAAAGUCCUCUUUUUUUCCUGCCCAAUGCCUGAAGACUGGGAGAUAAAAUAUUAUUUAUAAUAUUCUGCAUCUUCACAUGGUGAGACCCACCAAAGCUUCAUCUUCAUGAAGGUGUCUCUUACUGUACAUUCUAGGAAGAAUUUGGCAUCAAAAGCAAUAUGCAGCUUCCCAUGUGACUGGACAAACCAACAGUGCUCUUGGAGAAGUAUCAUCCUCUGCUACAUGGGAGCAAUGCAGUGUUUCAGUAUGAACCAUAAAUCUUGAAAUUCAGCAAGCCUUAAUUUCAACUGAAGAAGAUACUUUGAAUUACUUCAUUGGGCUAUAUGCUGACAUCACGCUGCUCAACACACAAAGUGACUGCCUUUUCAAGUACAGAACUAAAAUAUGGAAACAGCCAUAGUAAGACAUCACAACUCACAGACAUCCCUCAGCACAACUGUGGAAUUCUUUGCCUUGAGGCUUCAAACCCAGCCAGACUCUUGGGCAAGAGAAAAGACAACUGUCUUCAGAAAAGUCUGAUACGAACCGUGGGUGAAGUGGCAAAUUAAUUACAACUGUGAAGACUGGGAGGAAGCUGCUCUCAAUUUUCUUCCAGAUAACAAGUGAUUCUCAUUUGCUAUUUGAUGAAGAUUAAAGUCUGACAGAGGUUGUACUGAAAACUCUGCCUCGGCCUUUUGAUCAACACCACCAAGGAUAAUAACAUAAUUCAGAUUGCUCAAACAGGGUAAACCUGAAGCCCGGGGAACUGUACAGCUGCAUGUUUCAUAUACAGGGA